CGGGGUGCGCGAGCGAGCGGAGGGCGCUGUGUCUACGCUCCCGAGAAGGCGAGUCGGGCUCUAUCGUCUCCUGCAGUCACCCCGAGCCGAGCGCCACCAUCUUGGAAAAAACGCGGAUCUCGCGGCCGCGGCGCAAGCCGGGAGGACUGGCUGGGCGGGCCGAGUAUCCCGGCAGGCAGCGCGCACCGCCUGGCCCGGCGAGGGCUCCCUGCCUGGACGCAGGGGCGCGGGGCGUGGCCGGGGCGCGCGCGGGAGGGCACCGCGCUCUGCUCCGCCCAAAUCGUCGGCUCCGCCCCCCUCCUGCUUGCCGUCCUCGCAGCGCAAAGGCGGCUGGGAAAGGGAAGUGGCUCUCUGGCUGCUCCUCGCAGUCCUACCGGGGUCGGUCGCCAUCUUUGCAGCGAGGAGAGGGGGCAGGUCCUCUUUUAAGCCCCUGCGGUCUGUUCCCUGACAGAAAGCAGGCGGUACACUUGGGACAUCCCCUGGAGCCCUCUGGAGUGUUGGAGAGUCCUGUGGGCUAUCUAACCAGGGAACGUGCCCGAAGUUGGACGUUCCCGAUUUUGUUGGGAAAUCGCUUCCGAAAUUUCGCCAAGCGGUUUUGGUAGCUGCCAAGCUCGCAGUGGGACAGAUCCCUUCAUAUUCUAGGUCGCCGACCCCGAGCCCUUUGUGCUCUGAGCUGCUUUUGUAAACAUUGCAGUAAUAGGCCCAGAGUGCGGACCAGCUUUCUUUCAAGGGACCAAGGUCAUCUGCUUAGGACUUUUGCCUGCAAACGCUGUGUCACUAGCUUACGGGAAGAUUCGCAUUUGGGAACUUUCAGUCAUGUUUUAUGGGCGAGACUAGUUAAAAUUAGUGUCAAGGAUUUAUCUUUGCAUGUUACCAAAAUAGGCAAAUGAAAAAUUUUAAAGAUGUUGUUAAAAUGUUACUACAAUAUCUAGCAUGUGAAGAUUCUUUUAGCAAUUAUAUUUCCUGUUAAGUAAAAAAUAAGUGAAAUGUAAGUAAAAAAUAAUAUCAAACAUGGCAGAAAACCCUGAGUUCCCAGAAAACUAAAGAGAAACCUGCUCUUAGUUAAAUGUCUUAAAUGCUGAUUCUUUACUAAGAUCCAAAAGGAUCCCAAUUCCUCCUUGGAAUCUGGAGAAAUAUAGCCCUUUUAUCUUGUUAAUAUUAAAUAGGCAUUCUUACCUGUAUCAGACUUAUUUCAAAAACCCACUGUGCUCUUUGCCUUGUUCAUUUUCAGAUUUCAAAAAUUUUGCUGGUAGAAAUUAGCAACAUGAACUUUGUCAGGAAUCCUUAGAAUCCUAAUAGUGUUCCAUCUCCAUAUAUAUCAGUUUUUAUGAAUAAAUUUUUUCCCAAGUAAGACCCAUAUUUUCCUUCAGGUACGUUUUCCCAGGAAAAUAACUUAUUACCUACUAAGUUAAGUAAUAAAUUUGUUUGACUAUUCUAUGCAAAAUGAGACCCAGUAGUUUCUAAGUUUCCCAUUUCAGUGUAAAGUUAAAGGAGCAGUUUAAUUUUUUUUCACAUAGCUCAUUAAUUCCUUUAACAAACUUUGAACUUCUACUGUUUACCAAGCUCUGUGCCAGGCUUUUGAAAACAAUAAAAGGUCAACAAUCUCUAUCCUUGCCCUCAAGAACUGUGAGUGAGUACUCACAGUCCAAGAGGAAAUCACACCAGUAAAAUGACAUACUUUUCAAAGUAACCCAACAGUUUUUAUGAAACAGUUUGCUCUAGAUUGCUGAUGAAGUUUUUUUGUGUUUUUUGUGUGUGUGUUUUUUUUGUGUGUGUUUUUUUGUUUGUUUGUUUUUGUUUUUAAAUGGCUGUUUUG
ensembl:lncRNA